UACGAAGGGUGCAAGCGUUAAUCGGAAUUACUGGGCGUAAAGCGCACGUAGGCGGUUUUUUAAGUCAGAUGUGAAAGCCCCGGGCUCAACCUGGGAAUUGCAUUUGAAACUGGGAAACUAGAGUGUGUGAGAGGGGGGUAGAAUUCCAAGUGUAGCGGUGAAAUGCGUAGAGAUUUGGAGGAAUACCAGUGGCGAAGGCGGCCCCCUGGCACAACACUGACGCUCAGGUGCGAAAGCGUGGGGAGCAAACAGG
rnacentral:rRNA from 1 species